UACGUAUGGUGCAAGCGUUAUCCGGAUUUACUGGGCGUAAAGGGAGCGUAGGCGGACUUUUAAGUGAGAUGUGAAAUACUCGGGCUCAACUUGAGUGCUGCAUUUCAAACUGGAAGUCUAGAGUGCAGGAGAGGAGAAUGGAAUUCCUAGUGUAGCGGUGAAAUGCGUAGAGAUUAGGAAGAACACCAGUGGCGAAGGCGAUUCUCUGGACUGUGACUGACGCUGAGGCUCGAAAGCGUGGGGAGCAAACAGG
rnacentral:rRNA from 1 species